AGUGAACGCUGGCGGUAGGCCUAACACAUGCAAGUCGAACGGCAGCACAGUAAGAGCUUGCUCUUACGGGUGGCGAGUGGCGGACGGGUGAGGAAUACAUCGGAAUCUACUUUUUCGUGGGGGAUAACGUAGGGACACUUACGCUAAUACCGCAUACGACCUACGGGUGAAAGCAUGGGAUCUUCGGACCUUGCGCGAUUGAAUGAGCCGAUGUCGGAUUAGCUAGUUGGCGGGGUAAAGGCCCACCAAGGCGACGAUCCGUAGCUGGUCUGAGAGGAUGAUCAGCCACACUGGAACUGAGACACGGUCCAGACUCCUACGGGAGGCAGCAGUGGGGAAUAUUGGACAAUGGGCGCAAGCCUGAUCCAGCCAUACCGCGUGGGUGAAGAAGGCCUUCGGGUUGUAAAGCCCUUUUGUUGGGAAAGAAAAGCAGCAGGUUAAUACCCCGCUGUUCUGACGGUACCCAAAGAAUAAGCACCGGCUAACUUCGUG
rnacentral:rRNA from 1 species